AUCAGUCUCUCGCCAAACGUGCAGCGUAGUAGAUGAGACGUGCGAGUCUUAUGGAAGAAGAGAGGUACUUUAUUCUUAGGUGUGAAGUUAGGUUUCGUAGUCAAGUGACACCGCUACGAUUGUAUCAGUUUCGCACGAACAUGGUCGAUAUGUAAAGAUGCGAGAGUCAAGUGGAAGUGCAGAUGAUGUGUGGCCAGCAGCUAUAGUGAAUUAUUUGACGAGAUGAUUAUUCGGACAGUCCGAUGAUGUGUGGCCAGCAGCUAUAGUGAAUUAUUUGACGAGAUGAUUAUUCGGACAGUCCGGCUUGUGAAUUUUUAACACUUAUAGGCUCUUGGUGCCUAUUUAUCAAUUAAGUUUUUUAUCCAUUUGCGCUUGUACUGGAAACAAUAUCAGUUGCUGUCGAAUCGGUAUCGCGAAAUCAUCAUGUAAGCCACGUUUCAACGAAGACGGCGACGAGAGACGAAAGGUCUGGAAACCAGCGAUACUGCAACGGCAUUGUAACACUUGUAAAAGAAUACGAGCGGCGGAUCGCAGAGCACGAAAGAGCACGAGAGAACGCAGUCCUCUUCCCGAAAUCGCGAUCGGCGGAUGCGAGGCCCUUCAGAUAAUACUGGAGGAGAGACGUAUACGACGUGUGGCGUGCAUCUUUAAAUCGAAGACUACAUAGAAUUGAAAGCCAGAUGGCGCCAGGUUCCGGUGAAGAGUUUGUAUACGUCGAUAAUAUUUUCAUCGAAUCAAUUAAAUCAAAUCAUUUAAAUUAAUUUAAAAAGGGCAAGUUAUUUACGCUAAAAUAAUAGGCAAAUACUAAUGUACAGGUAAAUGAGAUAUAUUUGUUAAAUAUUCUUAUAAACGAAAACUUAU